rnacentral:rRNA from 1 species
CCUACGGGAGGCAGCAGUGGGGAAUAUUGCACAAUGGGGGAAACCCUGAUGCAGCGACGCCGCGUGAGUGAAGAAGUAAUUCGUUAUGUAAAGCUCUAUCAGCAGGGAAGAAAAUGACGGUACCUGAGUAAGAAGCCCCGGCUAACUACGUGCCAGCAGCCGCGGUAAUACGUAGGGGGCAAGCGUUAUCCGGAUGUACUGGGUGUAACGGGAGCGUAGACGGCAGUGCAAGUCUGGAGUGAAAGGCGGGGGCUCAACCCCCGGACUGCUCUGGAAACUGUACGGCUGGAGUGCAGGAGAGGUAAGUGGAAUUCCUAGUGUAGCGGUGAAAUGCGUAGAUAUUAGGAGGAACACCAGUGGCGAAGGCGGCUUACUGGACUGUAACUGACGUUGAGGCUCGAAAGCGUGGGGAGCAAACAGGAUUAGAUACCCCAGUAGUC